GUGAUGUGAUCUGUUAUCUUGUGAAAAUGAUAUGGAUUUUUUUAUGUAUGAUCAUUGUAGAUUUUGAUCACUAAAUCAAAUGUAAAUAAAAAGUUCAAAAUUGAGAGGUCUAAGUUAGUUUAGUUGUUGUAAAUUCUUUAUGCAGUCUUAAUGACCAAGGCUUAGUGCUUGAAAGAAAGGAAGAAAUUUGUUAAAAAAUAAAUUUCUUCCUUUGUUACUUCCAUUUUAAUAAUAAAAAUUUGUAGAAAAAUACUGGAGAAGUGAAGGAAAAUUGUCUGUAAUGUUCUAAUUUCAUUCUCCAUUAACUCCAUAGUAAUUAAACAAAUUGAAACACUAAUAAAUUAAAAAGUCUUGUUUUGUAAAAUCAGACUCUUUAACUUAUUAGUAUUUUGACUUGUUUUAGCUGUAAUGUAAGAUCAUAACAAAUCUUAACAUUGGUGGAGUUAUAGAAAGUUUAAAAGUUAAUAAUUGUACCCAAGAAUUAUGCUCAACAAUUCAGACAAGAAAUAAUAAUAAUAGUUAAUAAUAUGAAAAACAAUAAGAUCAUUUCUCCUAGUCUUUAAGUACUAUCAUUUUAAAGAUGAUUCAAGUAGAUUCAAGAAAUAUGUGAUGAAAUCAUUUAUUUCUUGAAUCUUUAGUUUCAUUAUUUCUGACUUUUAAUAAGUAAAAAUAAAUAAUAAUUAGUUUUUAUACAGGCGACCCUCGACUUUCGCACAUAAUUGGUUCCUGAAAGUGUGUGCGAAUGUUGAAUGUUCAAAAGUAGAGGGAUGUAAAAAAAUAUGCACCAAAAACUGUGUUUAAAAUAUUUAUUCCUUAAUUUUACUCUUAUUUUUCAAAAUUCCAAAUACCGUAGAUCUGUUUAUAUUGUACGAACAUCCGGUUGAAGCAAAAGAUUUACUGUUUUCAGAAUGUUUAAUUAUUUUCAUCUUUGUCUCGAUCGUAUGAAGUUUAUGAGUCCUUAAUUUUUUUUUGUUCAUAUCAACAUUGCAGUUUCUCUGUUUCUCACUCAUGUUUAUCAAUUUAUCAGGACGAAAUAUUUAAACAUAAACAAAUAAAUUGGCAAAACACACAACACGUUGACGCAUGCCCUAAUGCAAAACUGAAAUUGUUUUGACCUCUUGCUUGGAACAACACAGUAGUGAUUAGGAUUCUGAGAAGUCUGCUAUUGUAGGAAGUAAUGUGUGGCAGAGAAUGUAGAGUGAACUACCACACUUUGUAGUGUAUGAGCAUUCUGCAUGGAAGGAAAUUUUUUCAUUAUUGACAAAUAUUUAAAAAGUUGAAUUUUUAAAAAUGUGCAAAAUAGCGAAUUGUGCAAAAGUUGAGGGCCGCCUGUAGUUUGAUUCUGGUCAGGAUGCUUCUGAAAGAAUACUUAUAUUCUGUACUCGACAUAUAUUGGAGCAAUUUGCCAACAGGAAACUAAUGUGAUGAUUCGAGGGCUAUUCUCUUGUAAAAGUUUAAUGAAAAAUGCAUUAAUUUAGAAAUUCAUCCAUUCCCACAGUAAUUAGAAAACAAAUGAGCAGGUGUUCACUUUAACAGUAAACAAUUGACUAACAUACUCGUGUUAGAGAGGGGUUUUCACAACAAGUCCCUUCCCACUCACAUUGACCGGAAAAUGGUUUGGAAAUAUAUUAAACAAUCAAUUGUUAAUCAUGAGAAAGUUGUUAGUUAAUGACAUCCACAAGGAGAAUCUAAAACCAAAUAGAAGAAAUAGGAGACCUAUGAGUCAAUUUUGUUUAAACUUCCUUGUCUGGUGAUGUCACCACUGCCAACAGGUUGUCACGAGACCAAAUUCCCAUGUUAGAUGGGUAUAUAAUGGUCGCAUGUCCAACUUUUCAGGCGGACAUACUCAGGAAACAACCAUAUAGUUGUCCCGCCAUAUAGUCUCCAAAGGAUCAUCUUUAUAAAUUUUAUGCUAUGUGCAAAUAUUGUCCCAAGCCUUGACUGAUAUUCUGUCACUGGAUACGACAGAGGAAAUCUUGCAUCAUCUGAUGAUUCAGGAAAACAUUUUUCAAGAUCUAUAGAUAUGUGGAAACAUAUAUUUUUAUCUCAUUUUCCACAAGUGACUACUAAAUUAACUGUUUCUGAAGAUCCAGGGAAAGAUCCCCAUUUUAAAGAAAGGGAUAUUGAUAUAAUGAGAGCGCAGAAAGAUAAAGU